rnacentral:rRNA from 1 species
UACGUAGGGGGCAAGCGUUGUCCGGAAUCAUUGGGCGUAAAGCGCGUGUAGGCGGCUUGGUAAGUCUGCUCUGAAAGCCCGGGGCUCAACCCCGGGAGGCGGGUGGAUACUGUCAAGCUCGAGUCCGGAAGAGGAGUGUGGAAUUCCUGGUGUAGCGGUGAAAUGCGCAGAUAUCAGGAGGAACACCGGUGGCGAAGGCGGGUCUCUGGGCCGAUACUGACGUGAGGAGCGAAAGCGU